GUUUACUGCAAAAAGCCUGAAGGUAAUGAUUCUACUCACCAGAACAAAUUCAAUAAGCUGUAGUUGUUCUGGUGACUAUAAUGUCCCUUUAAGUUAAUCAAGAUGCUAAAAUAGUUCAAAUGUAUUAAUAUGUGUAGUGACUCACAAAUUGACAAACAAAUUCUACUUGUAGUAGUAAUAAAUAGUUAGUGUAUGCCUCAAUUUGUCAACUAAAUCUCCAGCAAAUGCACUAAUAAAACAGAUACUUAAAUACAAUAACUUCAACCUUCUCUAGGCAUAUUUAAGUUUUGGUUUUUUAUCAUGCAUGGAACUGAUAAUGAAAAAGAGACAAGUACCAGAAGUGAAUCAGUCAGUAUACAAACAGUUCAUAUUGGCUCUUUAUAUAUUUAGUCUUUG